rnacentral:rRNA from 1 species
UACGUAGGGUGCUAGCGUUGUCCGGAUUUAUUGGGCGUAAAGAGCGUGUAGGCGGCCAGAUAGGUCUGCUGUGAAAACUCGAGGCUCAACCUCGAGCUGUCGGCGGAAACCAUUUGGCUAGAGUCCGGAAGAGGAGAGUGGAAUUCCUGGUGUAGCGGUGAAAUGCGCAGAUAUCAGGAAGAACACCUAUGGCGAAGGCAGCUCUCUGGGACGGUACUGACGCUGAGACGCGAAAGCGUGGGGAGCGAACAGG